UACGUAGGGUGCAGCGUUGUCCGGAAUUAUUGGGCGUAAAGAGCUCGUAGGCGGUCUGUCGCGUCUGCUGUGAAAACUCAGGGCUUAACCCUGAGCUUGCAGUGGGUACGGGCAGACUAGAGUGCGGUAGGGGAGACUGGAAUUCCUGGUGUAGCGGUGAAAUGCGCAGAUAUCAGGAGGAACACCGGUGGCGAAGGCGGGUCUCUGGGC
rnacentral:rRNA from 1 species